GUGGUCUUCCACCUGCUUACAAACACACCGCCCACCUCCUUCAUUCUAUUAGCAGGCUCAUUGUCUCAUCUCUCUCUCUCUCUCUCUCUCUCUCUCUCUCUCUCUCUCUCUUAUAUAUAAAUUUCCAUCCUCAUUACCCUUAUUCUCUAACUCUCUCUCUCUCCCUUCUCCCUUUACACCCAUCCUUCAUUCUUCAAUGCAGAUCCGCAUCAACUUAGUUGGUGACUGAUAUUCCAGCAACAACUGGGACAAACUUCGGGCAAGAAAUUGUGUGUUAUGAGAGUCCACGACCAACGGUCGGCAUUCAUCGAUAUGUUUUCGUACUGUUUCAACAACUGGGGAGGCAGACGGUGUACGCUCCGGGAUGGCGCCAAAAUUUCAACACUAGAGACUUCGCGGAGCUCUACAAUUUGGGGUUACCGGUUGCUGCUGUUUACUACAACUGCCAGAGGGAGAGAGGCUCAGGAGGGAGGAGAUGAAGAUGCAAAGCCCUCCCUAGAGUUGCUGAAAAACUGAGUAAUUCCCUUAAUACUAGCUUGGUUCUCUGACUCGUGGAUCUCCUCCACUACAAUUAAAUAUGCCAAUAAAAGUCAUCGUCAACCUUAUUUACUGCAUAUGACAUAAAGCCCAUGAUGUAUAAGAUGCAUGGGUUUAUUAAUAGGGUGUGUUAUGGCAUAUAUAGCACAAGCCUGUAUCGCCCACCAUAUUUAAAAUCUACAGAUGAGAUUGAUUAUCGUAGUGCGUGACACAUAUAUUGUAAUCCUAAGCCUAUGGGUCUGAUUGUAUACGGCGAUAUAUAGUUUGCCUCGCUUCACUAUCA